CUGCUGCCUUCCGUAGGAGUUUGGGCCGUGUCUCAGUCCCAAUGUGGCCGUCCGCCCUCUCAGGCCGGCUACUGAUCGUCGCUUUGGUAGGCCGUUACCCUGCCAACUGGCUAAUCAGACGCGGGUCCAUCAUAUACCACCGGAGUUUUUCACACCGGGGCACUGCGCCCCUGUGCGCUUAUGCGGUAUUAGCACCUAUUUCUAAGUGUUAUCCCCCUGUAUAUGGCAGGUUACCCACGCGUUACUCACCCGUCCGCCA
rnacentral:rRNA from 1 species